rnacentral:siRNA from 1 species
CAAAGGUGUAUGACAUUAUCAUA